rnacentral:rRNA from 1 species
CAGCAGCCGCGGGAAAACGUAGGGUGCAAGCGUUAAUCGGAAUUACUGGGCGUAAAGCGUGCGCAGGCGGUUGUGUAAGACAGGUGUGAAAUCCCCGGGCUUAACCUGGGAAUUGCAUUUGUGACUGCACGACUAGAGUGUGUCAGAGGGGGGUGGAAUUCCACGUGUAGCAGUGAAAUGCGUAGAUAUGUGGAGGAACACCAAUGGCGAAGGCAGCCCCCUGGGAUAACACUGACGCUCAUGCACGAAAGCGUGGGGAGCAAACAGGAUUAGAGACCCCUGUAGUCCCUGUCUCUUAUAC